CCUACGGGAGGCAGCAGUGGGGAAUAUUGGGCAAUGGAGGAAACUCUGACCCAGCGACGCCGCGUGCGGGAUGAAGGCCUUCGGGUUGUAAACCGCUUUCAGUAGGGAAGAAGCGAAAGUGACGGUACCUACAGAAGAAGCACCGGCUAACUAUGUGCCAGCAGCCGCGGUAAUACAUAGGGUGCAAGCGUUGUCCGGAAUUAUUGGGCGUAAAGAGCUCGUAGGUGGUUCGUCACGUCGGAUGUGAAAAUCUGGGGCUCAACCCCAGACCUGCAUUCGAUACGGGCGAUCUAGAGUGUGGUAGGGGAGACUAGAAUUCCUGGUGUAGCGGUGGAAUGCGCAGAUAUCAGGAGGAACACCAAUGGCGAAGGCAGGUCUCUGGGCCAUUACUGACACUGAGGAGCGAAAGCGUGGGGAGCGAACAGGAUUAGAUACCCUGGUAGUCCACGCCGUAAACGGUGGGCACUAGUUGUGGGAACCUUCCACGGUUUCUGCGACGCAGCUAACGCAUUAAGUGCCCCGCCUGGGGAGUACGAUCGCAAGAUUAAAACUCAAAGGAAUUGACGGCNGAGAGNGCGAGACGACGACGAGGGAGAG
rnacentral:rRNA from 1 species